rnacentral:rRNA from 1 species
GGAAUUUUCCGCAAUGGGCGAAAGCCUGACAGAGCAAUACCGCGUGAGGGAAGAAGGCUUACUGAGUUGUAAACCUCUGUUACCUAAGGAGGAAGAUCUGACGUUACUUAGGAGACGAAGCAUCGGCUAACUCCGUGCCAGCAGCCGCGGUAAGACGGAGGAUGCAAGUGUUAUCCGGAAUCACUGGGCGUAAAGCGUCUGCAGGUGGUUUCUUAAGUCCACUGUUAAACCUUGAGGCUCAACCUCAAUUCAGCAUUGGAAACUGGGAAACUUGAGUAUAGUAGGGGUAGAGGGAAUUUCCAGUGGAGCGGUGAAAUGCGUAGAUAUUGGAAAGAACACCGAUGGCGAAGGCACUCUACUGGGCUAUUACUGACACUCAGAGACGAAAGCUAGGGGAGCAAAUGGGAUUAGAUACCCCUGUAGUC